UACUAUAUUAGCUCAAAAUCAGGACAAAAAACAAAUUCAAAUUAACAUUAUCCCGAUCAGUUGGACUUCCACAGUUCACUAAUAUACAAGUCACAGGCAUGUUGUCAGCACUCAAAAUCACCAAAAACGUAAAGUUUAUAAAAUAAUUAAUAUAAUGAAUGUCUUUAAAUACUAUACUACCUCAAAAUCACGACAAAAAACAAAUAAGAAAAAUCAAUAAUUACAUUGAGUUUAGGUUAAGAACAGUUUUGUGUGCCAACCAAAGAUCACGUGAUUUAACUUUGACAGGUCGAUGGAUUCCCUAAUGUGUGUUUAUUUAUGUGGCAAAAUUCCAGGCACCAUAAAAAUUUGAGUUUCUUCCUGUUGCCCAUGGAUGAAAAUCGGUUUGCAGAAUGAAAAGAAAUUGUUCAAUGUGAUAAACUUUCUAUGAACAGUCCUCAAUAUUGUUACAUUAACUUUUAAAUAUGCACUUUACAUCUUGAGGAGCAGGCCUUUGCAGAAAUACUGAAAAGCGGGUUGCAAAACAAUGCAAAAUAAAAUAAAUGAAAUAUGUCUUGAGAUUAAACAUUCAAGUUGAAGGUGUGUUCUUUCUUAAACUGGAAUGAUAAUUUUGUAAUUCUGUAUGCACAUCUAUUGAGAAGUUACAACCAGUGGCAAAGUGCCUUAAGGGAAUCUAUGACAUAUAUAAUUGAAGGGACAUCUCCUCUGAAGGAAUUACAAUUAUUUGCCAGUAUGUCAAAUGAAUUUUCAACAUCAGUCAUACUUUCAUGAAUUUAUUGAUGAAAAUAAAACUAGGUACAUGAUUUAUUAUUUACUUCCAACUGAUUCUAAGAUACUAUGUGUAAAAAGUCCAAUAUGCAGUGAUGAGCAUGCUAAUAACUGGCAAAAUAUGGGAUAUAACGCCAAAGAUGGGAAACAUGGGAUGCAUUCUGAAGUAAAAAGAGAUGAAACUGAGAGAAAUUAUCGAUAUAAACAUAUAAAUUAACAUUACAUUACAUAGUUUCCCACCUUUAGACGUAUCAGAUGAGUAUGAGAACUGUCACUGUGCCAGGAGAAUUUUAUAAAAUACUCCUGUCACAGAGAUCUAAAGGUGGGAAACUAUGUAAUGUUAUCGUCGGCUAAGAGUGUUAACCUGCUAACUCCAUUUUUCACUGUGAGUGAUAUUGGGGUAGUUUCUAGGUCUGUGUACCUUCAUACCAUGUCCCACAAGCCCGCUGGUUCCACUGUAGUUUAGAGAUAGCUAUUAUAAUAUAAUAAUAAUAAUAAUAGAGUUUAUUUGUAACAAUUAGUACAUAAUAAUAAACCCAAGUUCUCACUGAAGUUGUUAGUCACAUGGACUACAACUUGUGCGUGAGGGUUAAAUUUUGAUUAUAAAACAACAUUAAUUUAUCUUAGUUUACAAAAAGGUAUUAAAUAGUCUUUUUCACUCAUCUGUCUUCAAAUUUGGGCUCCUCUACUCACUAAUUCAGUUAACGUUAAAUUUUGUUUAUCGGACCUACGAAAAUCUCUAAUAAAAUUCAACAAAGGAUUGCGAAAUACUUCAGAUGGGAUUCUUCUGGCGGGACUUCGUUUUAUAUGAGAAUCGUCAUGACUUUUAAGGUGUUUUAUUCAUUUUUACAGUAAUUUUCUCAAUUUAAACAUUUAUAAGUGAAGUGACAUUUGAUAUAAAUCAUUUUUUUUUUUUUUAUUUCUAAACUACAUUGGUGUCGACGGGUUUGUGUGGUGGUGUAUGAAAAUACACGGACCCAGAAACUAGCCCAAUAUCACUCAAAGUGAAAAAUGGAGUUAGCAGGUUAAAACUCUUAUCCAAGGUUAUGUUAAUUUAUUCGUUUAUAACGAUAAGUUCCACUUCUACCAGUUUCAUCUCUUUUUAUCUCACAAGUUAAUAUGUUUUCCAUAUUUUGCGUUAUUUUGCCGGUUAUUAGUGUGAGUGCUCAUUACUGUAUAUUUACGAUUCUGCGAUUUCUCAAUAUGAUGCUGAGUAGGUAUAGAUCUAAGUAGGUAUAUAGUAGGUAUCUACAAUCCUUUCAAAACAGAAAUUUAUAAGUUCAUUUUAUGUACCUAUUAAACUUUAUUUUAAGGAUGAAUUUGAAAUGCUUGUAGGGAAUAUAUCUGUAAAAAAUAAAAUUGGUAUUGUAAAAUUGAAAUUCUCAAAAUAUAAUUUAUAAUUCGAA
rnacentral:lncRNA from 1 species